rnacentral:rRNA from 1 species
UUUUUAUGGAGAGUUUGAUCCUGGCUCAGGACGAACGCUGGCGGCGUGCUUAACACAUGCAAGUCGAACGGAAAGGCCUAGCUUGCUAGGUACUCGAGUGGCGAACGGGUGAGUAACACGUGGGUGAUCUGCCUCGUACUUCGGGAUAAGCCUGGGAAACUGGGUCUAAUACUGGAUAGGACCAUGCUUUAGUGUGUGUGGUGGAAAGUUUUUCGGUACGAGAUGAGCCCGCGGCCUAUCAGCUUGUUGGUGGGGUAAUGGCCUACCAAGGCGUCGACGGGUAGCCGGCCUGAGAGGGUGGACGGCCACAUUGGGACUGAGAUACGGCCCAGACUCCUACGGGAGGCAGCAGUGGGGAAUAUUGCACAAUGGGCGCAAGCCUGAUGCAGCGACGCCGCGUGGGGGAUGACGGCCUUCGGGUUGUAAACCUCUUUCGCUAGGGACGAAGCUUUUGUGACGGUACCUAGAUAAGAAGCACCGGCUAACUACGUGCCAGCAGCCGCGGUAAUACGUAGGGUGCGAGCGUUGUCCGGAAUUACUGGGCGUAAAGAGCUCGUAGGUGGUUUGUCGCGUCGUCUGUGAAAUUCCGGGGCUUAACUUCGGGCGUGCAGGCGAUACGGGCAUAACUUGAGUGCUGUAGGGGAGACUGGAAUUCCUGGUGUAGCGGUGGAAUGCGCAGAUAUCAGGAGGAACACCGAUGGCGAAGGCAGGUCUCUGGGCAGUAACUGACGCUGAGGAGCGAAAGCAUGGGGAGCGAACAGGAUUAGAUACCCUGGUAGUCCAUGCCGUAAACGGUGGGCGCUAGGUGUGAGGGUCUUCCACGACUUUCGUGCCGUAGCUAACGCAUUAAGCGCCCCGCCUGGGGAGUACGGCCGCAAGGCUAAAACUCAAAGGAAUUGACGGGGGCCCGCACAAGCGGCGGAGCAUGUGGAUUAAUUCGAUGCAACGCGAAGAACCUUACCUGGGCUUGACAUAUGCAGGAUCGGCGUAGUGAUACGUUUUCCCUUGUGGUCUGUAUACAGGUGGUGCAUGGUUGUCGUCAGCUCGUGUCGUGAGAUGUUGGGUUAAGUCCCGCAACGAGCGCAACCCUUGUCUUAUGUUGCCAGCACGUGAUGGUGGGGACUCAUGAGAGACUGCCGGGGUUAACUCGGAGGAAGGUGGGGAUGACGUCAAAUCAUCAUGCCCCUUAUGUCCAGGGCUUCACACAUGCUACAAUGGUCGGUACAACGCGCUGCGAGCCUGUGAGGGUGAGCGAAUCGCUGAAAGCCGGCCUCAGUUCGGAUUGGGGUCUGCAACUCGACCCCAUGAAGUCGGAGUCGCUAGUAAUCGCAGAUCAGCAACGCUGCGGUGAAUACGUUCCCGGGCCUUGUACACACCGCCCGUCACGUCAUGAAAGUUGGUAACACCCGAAGCCAGUGGCCUAACCCUUGUGGGGGGGAGCUGUCGAAGGUGGGAUCGGCGAUUGGGACGAAGUCGUAACAAGGUAGCCGUACCGGAAGGUGCGGCUGGAUCACCUCCUUUCU